CUUUAGGGGUGGACAGUGGAGGGGCAACAUAGAGUCAUAGAAUCUAGACUUAUUUGGGUUGGAAGGAACUCUAAAGAUUAUCUAAUUUCAACUCCCCUGCCUGAAUACCGUACUCUAGAGCAGGAUGUUUGAAACCCUAUCCCACCUGGCCUUGAACACUUCCAGAGAUAGAAGAGCUUCUUUAGACAGCCUGUGCCUGUGCCAGUUCAAGCAGGAGGGGAGGCAGAAGCUGGGACUGGACAUUCAUGAUAGGCCCCAGUAAAUGCUUUGCUGGUAGGAUGAGGGUGUGCAGGCCUUGUGGCAGGUAGCAGCAUUUGGCUUCCAGCACUGCCUGUUAAAAGCUCACAGGAAUAUACCCCAUGGGGCAUCACAACCUCUUUGAAAAGUUAAAAACUUUUAUUUUUUUUUGCACUUACUGGAGAUUAAUGAAUACACAAACAAUAUUUUUUAACACAAAACUCUCUUUUUGUCAAUUUUGAAACAUUAUGGUAUACUUCCCAACUCUUCAGAAUCUGUGAUUUUAAUAUAUUUUGAUCUCCAAUUGAUCUUUUCCUUACUUCCCUUUGGUAUUUUCUUGUAAACUGAAGUACUCACAUUUUCCCUCAUCUUUUUGUCUUCUCUGUGUAUUGUUCCACUUUUCUAUUUGUUUUCAUGUCUUCUUGUCUCUCCUGUCAAAAUACAUACACAGAACAUUGUGUGAGUACCAUUUACAAGAGAAAAUACAGGCUCUUCCAGAAACAUUAAAGAAGCAAACUUCCAAGAUAAAAGAGAGGCAUAGUGUGAAAUGUCUCCAUAUGUCCAUUCUAGCGGAUAAUGACACCUCAGUGCUGUAUAGUGUAUCUGUGGAAAGGUACCAAAAAGUUUUUAUGGGAUCAACCUGUGCAGCCUGUGCAGUGCAGCUGUGGAUGAGUGUUUUUGACAGUAUAUUGUGGUAA
rnacentral:lncRNA from 1 species